UUUCCGUAGGUGAACCUGCGGAAGGGUCAUUCAUAAUAAAGUGUUUUAUGGCACUUUUUAAAAAUCCAUAUCCACCUUGUGUGCAAUGUUAGAUCUCGUCAAUCUUGGCGAGAUUUUUAUACAUCAACUCAUUUUUUAACUAAUUUGUCUGAAAAAUAUUAUGAAUACUUAAUUCAAAAUACAACUUUCAACAACGGAUCUCUUGGCUCUC
rnacentral:misc_RNA from 1 species